UCCACAAAAACCAAAACAAAGCACCGCCAUUUUUGGGUCCUAAGCCUCUCCAUGAACGAGUAGCAAAGGUCGACAUCGGCAAUGGUCGAUUCGUGGCGAACGGUCAGAGGUCGAUUCGCGAACGGUCAUACGUCGAUGCCCGAACGCACCGAACCAAUCGAACCUAGUUCACCAUUGUGCAUUAUAUUUUACUAUUCAAUAUUCAUUUUAUCGUUUGUUGCAAAUGGAGCAUUAUGUAUAGGCUGCUUGUCUUCGCCGUGGACGACACUAAAGACCUCUAAGUUUAAGUAGCUCUCUUAGCAGAACGAGAGCCAUAAUGGAUCAGGAAAUUCCAUCAAUGCACCCUGUCUCUCUUUAGUAGGGAGCCGAGGCACCCUUCUAUGACUCAGUCUUGUCACGUUACAGUAUGAGGAACUGCGCAAAAGCAGAUUGAAGCAAAGGAAACUGUGUCGGUAGUAAAUUCUAGGUAUCCUACAUGAAUGUAUUUAUUUCCAAGUAACUCCUGUGGGUAACAAAACGUUGGCUUCCACGUCAAGAAUAAAGUUGUCAAAGUAGAGGCUUGAAAGCAACUUACAAUGAGGUAGAUGUAAAGACCUGUGAUAUUAAAGCGUAUUAAAGGUGAUAAGGAACUUUACCAUCGAAGAAAUCUUCAGUCAUGGCGACUAUGACCAUGGAGCAGAGACGUUUCCCUCGCUGUAUAAGAAAAUCUGCCAUUAAAGUUUUUCAAGAACAAGAAAAGCUAUAGUUUCAUCUGCAUUUUUAUCAACUUGGUUCUCAAGAAACCUUCAAUGAUCAGACGCAAUGAUAUGCUCCUUUGGCGUGGUAGCGAGUGGAGAUAAUCUAUGAACUGCUGAAAGACUACUUUUUCCUCAAAAAGUGGAUUUUUCCACCUACCUACGCGAAAGUCGUAGAAUGUCCACUCAAUUAGGGCUCAGACUGAAAAAGAAAUUAAUUAAUUAAUUUAAACUGACUCAAAAACACUUCCGGAUUGAACAGCUUCGAUUAACUUCCCACCGUUCCGACAAUGAACAGCAGUGGCUA